CAUCAGUUGGUCCAAAUGUGCCGAGAAUCUGCCAUGACUCAACGUUGCUCUUGUGGACGAUUUGUAGCAGCUCCUACAACAACGGUGGUGGUUGGUGUCCAGACGCAUUUCUGGUGACUUCGGUUUAGGGUUCUGACAGUCUCAUUUUCACUGUUCAGCUCGAUACACAGAGGGACCCAUUGAUGGGUAUUUAAUAUUGAAUCGUACAUACAGAGGUGCAGCAACAAAAAGGCCACUCCUUUUUAUUGGAACCAGUGAACAUAUGGAUGAAUUUGAACUAAUUGAGAUUAUGUGCAGCGAUUUAAUUUGGGAUUUUGUUUUUUGGGUAGAUAUUUAGGUCUACAUAGUUAAAGACCCUAAAGGAGGUGCCUGAUUUGAUUAAUCGUGGGGGGAACUUCAUUGUGGUCCGAGUCUAAGCCGACUUACAAAGGUACAUUAUUUGGUGUAUUUGACCCUCUUGAC